UACGUAGGGGGCAAGCGUUAUCCGGAUUUACUGGGUGUAAAGGGCGCGUAGGCGGCAUGGUAAGUCAGAUGUGAAAACUUGGGGCUCAACUUCAAGAUUGCAUCUGAAACUGCUGAGCUAGAGUGCAGGAGAGGAAAGUGGAAUUCCGAGUGUAGCGGUGAAAUGCGUAGAGAUUCGGAGGAACACCAGUAGCGAAGGCGACUUUCUGGACUGUAACUGACGCUGCGGCACGCAAGCGUGGGGAGCUAACAGG
rnacentral:rRNA from 1 species